GGUGACAAUCCCGUGCGUGGCAGGACGGACCGUUUACGAUACGCUUUCUAUGAGUCGGGUUGCUUGGGAAUGCAGCCCAAAAUUGGUGGUAAACUCCAUCUAAAGCUAAAUAUUGGCACGAGACCGAUAGCGAACAAGUACCGUGAGGGAAAGAUGAAAAGAACUUUGAAAAGAGAGUUAAAAAGUGCGUGAAACCGUUAGAGGGGAAACGGAUGCAGUUAGCAAUGCUACUGCGAGAUUCAGGCGAUCGCUUGACGCGACGUGCAGUUGGUGGAUCUGAAUGGACUGUCGCUGCACGGCCGUGUCAAUUGUCCGCCGCAUUUCUCGUAGCAGUGCGUCAACAGCUGCUGGAGAAUUCAGGCUACACGGCGUCUGUGGAAGGUAGGUGGUCGGCUUGCCGAGCACUGUUACAGCCACUAGUGUCCCAGUCUGACUCUGGCAGAGGCGAGCGGUGCAUGCUCUCUUCGGGGGGCUGGCGUCCUGUUCCGUUCUCGUAGUCGACCGAGGUGCACUGCUUGCA
rnacentral:rRNA from 1 species